rnacentral:rRNA from 1 species
AGCAUAUCAAUAAGCGGAGGAAAAGAAACUAACAAGGAUUCCCCUAGUAGCGGCGAGCGAAGCGGGAAAAGCUCAAAUUUGUAAUCUGGCGCUUUCGGCGUCCGAGUUGUAAUCUCGAGAAGUGUUUUCCGCGUCAGACCGCACACAAGUCUCCUGGAACGGAGCGUCAUAGUGGUGAGAACCCAGUACACGGUGCGGAUGCCUGAUGCUUUGUGAUACACUUUCGAAGAGUCGAGUUGUUUGGGAAUGCAGCUCAAAUUGGGUGGUAAAUUCCAUCUAAAGCUAAAUAUUGGCGAGAGACCGAUAGCGAACAAGUACCGUGAGGGAAAGAUGAAAAGCACUUUGGAAAGAGAGUUAACAGUACGUGAAAUUGUUGGAAGGGAAACGCUUGAAGUCAGACUUGCUAUUCGGAGCUUGCUUCGAUUCGCAGGCCCGCAUCAGUUUUUCGGGGCGGAAAAUCGUAGAGAGAAGGUAGCAGUUUCGGCUGUGUUAUAGCUUUCUACUGGAUUCGUCCUGGGGGACUGAGGAACGCAGCGUGCUUUUUGCAUGGGCUUCGGCCUAUCCACGCUUAGGAUGCGGGUGGAAUGGCUUUAAACGACCCGUCUUGAAACACGGACCAAGGAGUCUAACAUGCUUGCGAGUAUUUGGGUGUCAAACCCGGAUGCGCAAUGAAAGUGAAUGGAGGUGGGAAGCGCAAGCUGCACCAUCGACCGAUCUGGAUUUUCUAAGAUGGAUUUGAGUAAGAGCAAGUAUGUUGGGACCCGAAAGAUGGUGAACUAUGCCUGAAUAGGGUGAAGCCAGAGGAAACUCUGGUGGAGGCUCGUAGCGGUUCUGACGUGCAAAUCGAUCGUCAAAUUUGGGUAUAGGGGCGAAAGACUAAUCGAACCAUCUAGUAGCUGGU